GAUGAAGAAGGUAGCGAAAUGCGAUAAGUAAUGCGAAUUGCAGAAUUCCAGUGAGUCAUCGAAUCUUUGAACGCACAUUGCGCCCUUUGGUAUUCCGAAGGGCAUGCCUGUUCGAGCGUCAUUAUCACCCCUCAAGCCCUCGGCUUGGUGUUGGACGGUUUGGUGGAGGCCCCCUCGGGGGUUCCUGCCCCUCCCAAAGACAAUGACGGCGGCCUCGUUGGACCCCCGGUACACUGAGUUCUUCACGGGACACGUAUCGGACACAUGGGUUUACGGGACACGGUCUGCCUCCCCUCAGGGAGAAUCUUUCUAAGGUUGACCUCGGAUCAGGUAGGGAUACCCGCUGAACUUAAGCAUAUCAAUAAGCGGAGGA
rnacentral:misc_RNA from 1 species